GUGGGGAAUCUUCCGCAAUGGGCGAAAGCCUGACGGAGCAACGCCGCGUGAUCGAAUGAAGGCCUUCGGGUUGUAAAGAUCUGUUGACAGGGACGAAUAAGCAAUGCGAAUAGUUUUGUGUAUGACGGUACCUGUUUAGAAAGCUCCGGCUAACUACGUGCCAGCAGCCGCGGUAAUACGUAGGGAGCAAGCGUUGUCCGGAAUUACUGGGCGUAAAGGGCGCGUAGGUGGGCGCUUAAGUCAGGUGUGAAAACUCCGGGCUCAACCUGGAGACUGCACUUGAAACUGGGUGUCUUGAGGGCAGGAGAGGAAAGUGGAAUUCCUAGUGUAGCGGUGAAAUGCGUAGAUAUUAGGAGGAACACCAGUGGCGAAGGCGACUUUCUGGACUGUACCUGACGCUGAGGCGCGAAAGCGUGGGUAGCGAACGGGAUUAGAAACCCUAGUAGUCC
rnacentral:rRNA from 1 species